AUAGUACUCCCUCCGUCCCAAAAUUCUUGUCUUAGAUUUGUCUAAAUACGGAUGUAUCAAGUCACGUUUUAGUAUUAGAUACAUCCGUAUCUAGACAAAUUUAAGACAAGAAUUUUGGGACGGAGGGAGUACUAC
rfam:Triticum urartu cultivar G1812 contig153814, whole genome shotgun sequence.